ensembl:lncRNA
AGGGGGCGUGGCUGUGAUGGGAACCCAUUGCUCCUCCCAUCGUGGCCAACCAAUGACCCUGAUAAUCUGGGUUUAGCUCCUCAGCACCCUGAGGAGAUUGACCUUCAGGAGAGAACCCAGCUCUGGAAAUAAAGGGGAAGCAGGGCUGAGGGGCAAAGCCACACCUCAUGCCUUCACAACUUGACCUUCAGCCAUCCCGCUUCACAGGAGGAAGGGUGUUGGAGCAACCCACCCGACAAAUGGAAUAAUUUCCCACUGCACUCGUUUUGUGCUGCUGCCUGGAGUACCGUGUUGAGAAACAGUGCAUGACAGAUUAUGGGUGUCUGCCACAGACGCCAGAUUAAAGCACGGCAAAGCCUUCCUCUUUGCCUCUAGGGACACCUGCUUUGAAGAGCUUCAUGGACCGGCUGAGACACUGCCUUGCACCUGGGGCAUUUGGAAGCACCUGUCAGCCCCUCCCUUCCCUCCAUUGCCAAACACAGCAUGUUUCUGGCUUGGUGGGUGGGUUGACUAUCUGAUUGAUUGCUACCAAAGCUGCCUCCGCAUCCCUGCCCCCAACUGCCUUUCCUCUGCCUUUGGGCGCCAACACAAAGGGUUUCUUAUCACCAAGCCCUGGGCUUUGGCCAAUCCUAGAGUGUUCCCUCCAGCCCACACAUCGCUCACCUGCCUUUUCCUCGUGUUUCCCAUGCCCCACUUGACCUCGGGCACCCAGGUGU